AUACCUUUCUCGGCCUUUUGGCUAAGAUCAAGUGUAGUAUCUGUUCUUAUCAGUUUAAUAUCUGAUAUGUGGGUCAUGUGCCCACAACGAUAUUAAAUUUAUUUUUUUUGAGGGGAGGGUCCACAACACUAGCUUGCUAGUGGGGCCUUCAUGUGUCGCUUGGGCAUUGCACUAUUGCCCAAGCAGGCGCACCCCAA
rnacentral:snRNA from 1 species